UGGGGAAUAUUGCACAAUGGGCGCAAGCCUGAUGCAGCCAUGCCGCGUGUAUGAAGAAGGCCUUCGGGUUGUAAAGUACUUUCAGCGAGGAGGAAGGCGGUAAGGUUAAUAACCUUAUCGAUUGACGUUACUCGCAGAAGAAGCACCGGCUAACUCCGUGCCAGCAGCCGCGGUAAUACGGAGGGUGCAAGCGUUAAUCGGAAUUACUGGGCGUAAAGCGCACGCAGGCGGUCUGUCAAGUCGGAUGUGAAAUCCCCGGGCUCAACCUGGGAACUGCAUUCGAAACUGGCAGGCUAGAGUCUUGUAGAGGGGGGUAGAAUUCCAGGUGUAGCGGUGAAAUGCGUAGAGAUCUGGAGGAAUACCGGUGGCGAAGGCGGCCCCCUGGACAAAGACUGACGCUCGGGUGCGAAAGCGUGGGGAGCAAACA
rnacentral:rRNA from 1 species